rnacentral:rRNA from 1 species
CAAUAGCGUAUAUUUAAGUUGUUGCAGUUAAAAAGCUCGUAGUUGGAUUUCGGAUGGGAUUUGCCGGUCCGUCGUUACGAUGUGCACUGGCCAGUCCUAUCUUGUUGUCGGGGACUAGCUCCUUGGAUUCACUUCCUGGGACUAGGAGCUGACGAGGUUACUUUGAGUAAAUUAGAGUGUUCAAAGCAAGCCUACGCUCUGAAUACAUUAGCAUGGAAUAACACGAUAGGACUCUGGCUUAUCUUGUUGGUCUGUGAGACCAGAGUAAUGAUUAAGAGGGACAGUCGGGGACGUUCGUAUUUCAUUGUCAGAGGUGAAAUUCUUGGAUUUAUGAAAGACGAACUUCUGCGAAAGCAUUUGUCAAGGAUGUUUUCAUUAA